GAUGAACGCUAGCGAUAGGCUUAACACAUGCAAGUCGAGGGGCAGCAUGGUCUUAGCUUGCUAAGACUGAUGGCGACCGGCGCACGGGUGCGUAACGCGUAUGCAACUUGCCUCACAGAGGGGGAUAACCCGUCGAAAGACGGACUAAUACCGCGUACACUUGGGAUAGGGCAUCCUGACCCAAGGAAAUGAAAUUCGCUGUGAGAUAGGCAUGCGUCCCAUUAGCUAGUUGGUGAGGUAACGGCUCACCAAGGCGACGAUGGGUAGGGGAACUGAGAGGUUGAACCCCCACACUGGUACUGAGACACGGACCAGACUCCUACGGGAGGCAGCAGUGAGGAAUAUUGGUCAAUGGGCGAGAGCCUGAACCAGCCAAGUCGCGUGAAGGAUGACUGUCUUAUGGAUUGUAAACUUCAUUUAUACGGGAAUAACAAGAGCCACGUGUGGCUCCCUGCAUGUACCGUAUGAAUAAGCAUCGGCUAACUCCGUG
rnacentral:rRNA from 1 species